AUGUUACAAAAUGGACUUUUUUUACUUAUUAACAAAAACAAGAACAAGUUGUAUCUAGAUAUAAUAACAUGGCAAUCCGAGGUAGAGGAAGUGGACUUGGUCGAGGGAGAGGUCGUAAUCCACCUCAGCAUUCCCCAGAUCUUCCUUCACAUAUAGGUGUUCAGAAUAACUAGCACAAAAGGCAAAGGCUAUACAAGUCUUCUGAUUCUGAAGAGAGACAUGAAUACUACAUUUAUGAUGGAGGAGCCAAUCACAGGCGAGGUCAGAGUGAUGCAAAUAAUGUGAAAAAAUGUAAAGGAGUCAGUUUUGAAUUUUCCAACAAUAUGAGGCAAUUAAGUGGAGGAAUUAGACAUAGUCAAAGGCGAGGUCAGAGUGAUCCACCAGAGCCUUCACAAUCAUGCACUAGUCCAGCACCACCACCACCACACAUGUCAUUUUCCCCAGGUGUCAAUAAUGAUAAGAACAAAAGACAAACGGAAGGACUGACUGGAGCUGAUGCAAGAAAAAGUGUCAAGAAUGACCAAAGCAAAAAAGAAUGUCGAGGAUUGAUUGAGGCUGAUGAAUAUUAUGCCGAUAAUGAUAGUGAAGAUGAAGGGAUACAAGUCAUUCGAAAGAGAAAAAAUCAACAACAGUCACGCAGGCAAGAAACAACUUCAAUGCCAUCAAGUGGAGGAUCUCAUGAUAGGAGGAAAGUUAUAUCCGUUGAGGCCAUCUCUAAUCCGAGGAGGUUUGUUCCCCAUACUGUGACCCGUGAUAUUAUAUCUAGGGUGAUCACGAGUAUGCCUACUCCAGCUGAGAAGUGGAAGGAUUAUCCAAUUGAAACGAAGGAUGAGUUAUUUAAAGAUUUCAUGGGUAAAUAUAAGUUUCCCUCAGAUUAUGAUCGUAAUAUGGCAAGAACUGUGUGGGAAAAAACAUGCAUGGAUAGGUAUCCUGAUCAUUUAAAAAAUGCAAGAAACGCGGCCUUACGAGAAGUGAACUCAACGAAUUUGGUCGACACUAAGGGCCAUGGACCCAAAGGAAUGAAGGCAGAAGUAUGGGAUGGUUUGGUCGACAUUUGGUUGAAACCCGAGUGGAAAAAGAAGUCGGAUGCUAAUCGUUGUAAUAGAGCUUCCUUACCUGAUGCAGUCUUGCACACAGGAGGCUCCAUAAACUUUGGUGAACAUAAGAAGAGGAUGGAAGAGGAAUUGAAACAUGAAGUAUCAUAUAGGGAUGUAUAUGACCGGGUUCAUAAGAAGACAGAUGGACAAUAUAUCUCCCAACGCUCAAGAACGUAUAUUGUAAGUUACUUCAACUUUGAAAAAGUUAAUUGUAAUAUGAAUGUAGGAGUCAUAUGACACUGCCAUGCUGGAAAAGUAUGGAGAGGACUUCUCCAGUCAUCCCAUAGUUGAUUCUAAAGUAUGGACAAAAUCGUUUGGUUACAAGAAGACGAGAAACACUUUUGUGGGUCGCAGCUUAGACCUUAAUAGUUCUGUGCCUGCUUCAUCUGCAGAGGCAAACAUAAUAGUUACAUCAGAAGAAUUUAUCAAAAAAGCUGUUGAUAGAGCAAUGACUUCCUUUGUCCAGUCGCAGUUGGCUCCAAUGUUGGAGCCAAUCCUAUCGAUGAUUCGGUCUAUGCAUAAAGCACCAAUGCAACUUGAUGUGGCUGAAAAAGUUCACAGAAAUUAAGAUAGUGAAGAGGGAGAUGGAGACACAGGUAGCUAUGGCUGAUUUGAAGAUGGUGGAGCAAUGAAAGGGAGUUUGGAGAAAGUUGUGCAAACUUGUUUGGAGACACGGAGUUUUUUACUUGUUUGAAUGAUUAAAUACAAAAAAACAAAUUAAUUAGUAGUGGUACUGAGUAUUGUUCACAAUUGAAUGAUCAUUGGAUUCAAUUGAAUUGAUUUUUUGUUGGAUGAUCAUUGGAUCCAAUUGAAUGAUUUAAUUUUAGCUUGAUUAAGUUUCUU